rnacentral:rRNA from 1 species
ACUGACACUGAGGGACGAAAGCGUGGGGAUCAAACAGGAUUAGAUACCCUGGUAGUCCACGCUGUAAACGAUGAGUACUAGCUGUUGGAGUCGGUGUAAAGGCUCUAGUGGCGCAGCUAACGCGAUAAGUACUCCGCCUGGGGACUACGGCCGCAAGGCUAAAACUCAAAGGAAUUGACGGGGACCCGCACAAGCGGUGGAGCAUGUGGUUUAAUUCGAUGCAACGCGAAGAACCUUACCUGGUCUUGACAUCCUGCGAUCUUUCUAGAGAUAGAUUGGUGCCUUCGGGAACGCAGUGACAGGUGCUGCACGGCUGUCGUCAGCUCGUGUUGUGAA